ACUUUAGUUCGGCCUUAAGUUCUCAAGCUCAUCAGUAUACCUGUGCUGUAUAAUCAGCCAAGCAGAUUCAAAUGAGUUAACUCCUUUAUUAGGGUGCCCGACCCAUUACAGCACAUGACUCUGCAGGCUGUAAUUCUCCAAAUAAGCUGAUGGCUCACAUCCUCAGCAUUUAGAAGUUAGCAAACAUGGCUACUCUACAGCAACUGAUACCAUGAAGAAUGCUCCACACAGGAAGUACACGGGAAAAGAAGCAAAUCCAACACGAAAAAGACACAUGCAAAUACAAGUGAAUUGGCUUAGAGAAAGAAUUGUUACCAAGGUCCACUGUUGGAAAUACAUCUGAAAGAGAUAACCUUGGAAGCUGGUCACCUGAACACAGUGAGAAAAAGGGUGUGAGAAAGGAAGGACCUGAUCAUCCAUCAGAUGGAAUCCAGACGUGACAAUUAGAGUUAAUGAACCAUGACCCAAGAAGCAGUUUCUGCACUUUACAAUCCUACUUCAUGGCCUCAGUAAAACUUACAGGGCUUUUUUUUUUCCCACAGAACACAUCUGCUCCAAAUUCUAAAGGGAGAAACUGGUUUCAGAAGUUACAUUUGGUUUCCUCCCUACUUUUCAGUCAUGUAUGAGGUAAAUGUAAGAACUUUGUUAACUAAAAAUCAGAAGAUACAGCUUCUACGAUGAGACUACAUAGUAUUAUUAUAGUAGCUAUUUAAUUUAUAUUAAAAUUAAUGAACUGAUAAAGAUGACUGGAAAACACCAAGCAAAUAUUUUCAAAACAACCAGCAUAAUGGCUUCUAUGUUUAAAUACUGGUUUUGGCCUCAGAUAGCUAAGAGAAUGCCUCAAAGGGGGAAAAAAAAAAAAGUUGAUUAAUACCUAAGUCUCCUAUCAUUUCUUCACAGAGCAGGUAUAGCUAAUGAAGCAGUGCCUCUUUUUCCCCAAAGUCCAGAAGAUCUACUGAACUUCUAAUCCUGAGGUGGAAUUGAUCUUUCUUUCCCUACGAGCAAAGUAUUCCUGCAGUCAGAGCCUCUCAAUAGUUUCUCAGAAUCACAAAAAUUCAUCCAUUUGGUCUUUUGCUACUAUUUGGAAUGAAGGAUUGAAAUAGGGCCAAACAACUCUUGGUGGUUUUCUUCCCAUACCAGACGCACCUUUUCUUGGCCUCCUCCAAAGAUGUGUUACCAAAACCAUAACAAUUCACUAUGAAAUCUGCUACCUAAAUUACAAUUGCUUUUUGGUUACAGUAGUGAAUUCUAAAAAAGCUUUUCCAGCAGCCCUGGUCAGAAAUCCACAAAGGAUACCUAGUGCAGAGCAGGAAGAUCUCAAGAGUUUGGAGAUAUUGUUUCACAGUCAGCUUACACUCCAGUUCCCUCUUCUCACUGAGUUAGGAAGUGAUUGGUUGCAUCCUGCUUCUGGAGAAGACAAAGGUAUUUCAGCCAUUGGUACUCCAAACUCAAAGAAGACCAUUAUUAAGAAAUGAAAGUCCAACUUGGUCUUGUACAUGGAAAUGUCUGCAGUACUUCCAAGACUUCUUCAAGAGUCAAUGGGUCUCAUAGGAAUGGCUCACAGAGCUUUUUUUCUUACUGACACUGUCCUCAUACAUUCCAAUUUUUACAGUUAGUAUGGCGUUCUCUUCAGUGAAACUUGAGCGCACACACUCAUGCUGUGUCAUGAGAAUUUUCUAGUCCUAUCACUGAAUUCCUUUCUUAUAGCUUAUAGUAAAAUCAUUUCCAAAGGAGGAGAGGAGAAGAGAACAUUGCUGUUUUCUGUUCUAAUAUGAGCAUGUGAAUAAAUUAAAUGAUAUUUAUAUCUUUAUAGAAGGAGCUUCACAAUUUUAAAAAAUAAAAAAAGAUGAUCAGAAGAAAUGGAAGGAAAAGGUGUGGUAAGAGUAAAAUAUCUGAUAAGAAAUUAUUUGACUGAAAAUGAAUAGUAGAGGAAUAUUACAAAAUCUAUCCAUAUCACAGUUAAUCGAUUAAAUAAUAAAACACAUCACUUUAUUCUAGCAAGUUUUUUCAAUGCAAAAAAAAAAAAAGCCUAUGGCUUGGUAAUAAAAGUAACUGUAAACUGUCUUGCCCAUCAUACAUACUAUUGUUAAGUAUAGUUUUAUUCCUUCACUAUAUUAACUUCCCAAGAGCUCAUUAAAUGUUACUGAUAUUGAAAGCACGGUCAAUCAGGUGAAAUAAAAUAAAAUGGAAAAAAAUUAAAAAUAUCAGUAGAUCAAGUGUUUGUUGUAAAUAUCUUCUGCCUUGCUUAAACAUUGAACUAAUUUUUAAGUAUGCAUGCAGAGAAGUUGUAUAAUGCAUAACCUGAUAAAUAAAACACACACA
rnacentral:lncRNA from 7 species